CCAAAAAGGUUUUCGUAGGGUGACCUGCGGAAGGAUCAUUA
rnacentral:rRNA from 1 species